rnacentral:rRNA from 1 species
CUACGUAGGGAGCGAGCGUUGUCCGGAAUUAUUGGGCGUAAAGCGCAUGUAGGCGGUUUGGUAAGUCGGUCGUGAAAAUGCGGUGCUUAACGCCGUAUGGCGAUUGAAACUGCUGAACUUGAGUGCAGGAGAGGAAAGGGGAACUCCCAGUGUAGCGGUGAAAUGCGUAGAUAUUGGGAAGAACACCGGUGGCGAAGGCGCCUUUCUGGACGGUGUCUGACGCUCAGAUGCGAAAGCCAGGGUAGCGAACGGGAUUAGAUACCCCGGUAGUCCUGGCCGUAAACGAUGGUUACUAGGUGUGGGAGGUAUCGACUCCUUCCGUGCCGGAGUUAACGCAAUAAGUGCCCCGCCUGGGGAGUACGGCCGCAAGGCUUAAACUCAAAGGAAUUGACGGGG